UACGUAGGGUGCAAGCGUUGUCCGGAAUUAUUGGGCGUAAAGAGCUCGUAGGCGGUUUGUUGCGUCGGCUGUGAAACUCCCGAGGCUCAACCUCGGGUCUGCAGUCGAUACGAGCAAACUAGAGUGUUGCAGGGGAGACUGGAAUUCCUGGUGUAGCGGUGAAAUGCGCAGAGUAUCAGGAGGAACACCGGUGGCGAAGGCGGGUCUC
rnacentral:rRNA from 1 species